rnacentral:tRNA from 1 species
GGGAGUAUAGCUCAGUGGUAGAGCAUAUGCUUAGCAUUCAUGAGGCACUGGGUUCAAUCCCCAGUACCUCCA